CUCUGUUUUUAGCCUUCUCCCCUCUGAAAAAAAAAUCAGAGGAAAAAUUCAGAUGGAAAAAAAUCAGUCAUUGAAAUAAUGAGUAAUUAAAAUUCUGAUAAAAAAAAAAUCACAUAAAUGUUCACGUAAAGGAGACAGGAGUGAACUCUGCGCAUGUACAAGAGGAACGGAGGCGGGAAGCCGUAGCCGAGCCCAUUUCGAACUUUGUUUGAAACACACAGUCAGUUGAAGCCGUUGAAGAACAGCGUGAAGAUGGAACCUGCUACUGAGCACAUCAACUCUUAAGUGUGUCCCUGGAAGAUCUACCAUCAACUUCCAGAACUGCAACUGCUAGUACUGUCAGAUGGUGAAUGCUACUCAGGCAAACACCAUUGUUACACCACUUUGAAGGAGAGCCUGGUCAUUUGGUCCCCUCAGCUUCUCCCUUUCUCAGUGAUAUGUUCAUUGUGGCUGGGAUAAUUGUGGGGCACUCUUUCCUUCAUGGAGGACCCUGCUUGUCUGGACUCUGUGAUGUGGUUGUCCAUACUGCUUCGUGGGAGCCCAGACACGGCUACAGUAAACCUGGAGGACUGUGCAGACCUGGACAUUAGAGAAACAAUCAGGCUUCUGGAGGUGGAAUCAAACCUAUCAGCUGAAGAAAUGGGAAGGGCACAGAACGUGGCCUCUUCCUGGGACCUCCCUCCGCUAACCACAACCAACAGGGCCCUUAAUGCUCUGCGGUGAAAAAAGGAGCAACAAGGCUGACCGUGACAUCGGGAGAGCUGAGGCAGAUCAUCUUAAACAUGAUGCACCUGGACGGUCCGGUGGCGGAGACUUCAAGAAUUAAAUAAAAUUACAAUGAAAUGGAUAACGUUUGUUUGACUGUUUGUUUACGCCUAGCUUGCUAUUGUAAUGUAGGCCUAUUAGAUUAUGUAUUUAUCAUCUAGAUGGUUAAGUUGGUAAAUGAAAAUGCUUAAUGCACAUUUUAAAAGCCUAUAAUAGGAUAAUAUAGGCUUAUUUUAACAGCAAUAGUAUGGGUAAUGGUAAAGUUAGCAAGUGCUUAAUGCACAUUAUUUAAAAGCCUAUAAUAGGAUAAUAUAGGCUUAUAAAUUAAUAUAUAACAGCAAAAUUCUGGUUGAAAAUAGGUCCAUGGCAGCACCUAAACAAGACGUGGUUUCAACCAAAUUUAAACGUUGAAAAGGCGUCUUUCC